AGCAGCCGCGGUAAUUCCAGCUCCAAUAGCGUAUAUUAAAGUUGUUGCAGUUAAAAAGCUCGUAGUUGAAUUUCGGGAUCAAUUCGUCGGUCGUGCUUUCGGGUACGUACUGGUGUUUAUUGGUUUCUCCCUUCUGACGAACCAUGAUGUCAUUAAUUUGGUGUUAUGGGGAGUUAGGACUGUUACUUUGAAAAAAUUAGAGUGUUUAAAGCAGGCAUUAGCUUGAAUACAUUAGCAUGGAAUAAUGAAAUAGGACGUUCGAUCCUAUUUUGUUGGCUUCUAGGAUCAACGUAAUGAUUAAUAGGGAUAGUUGGGGCAUUAGUAUUCAAUUGUCAGAGUGAAAUUCUUGGAUUUAUUGAAGACUAACUACUGCGAAAGCAUUUGCAAGAUGUUUCAUUAAUCAAGAACGAAAGUUAGGGAUCGAAGACGAUCAGAUACCGUCGUAGU
rnacentral:rRNA from 1 species